UACGAAGGGUGCAAGCGUUAAUCGGAAUUACUGGGCGUAAAGGGUGCGUAGGCGGUUCGUUAAGUCUGUCGUGAAAUCCCCGGGCUCAACCUGGGAAUGGCGAUGGAUACUGGCGAGCUAGAGUGUGUCAGAGGAUGGUGGAAUUCCCGGUGUAGCGGUGAAAUGCGCAGAGAUCGGAAGGAACACCCGUAGCGAAGGCGGCACUCUGGGCCGGUACUGACGCUGAGGAGCGAAAGCGUGGGGAGCAAACAGG
rnacentral:rRNA from 1 species